rnacentral:rRNA from 1 species
GAUCCUGGCUCAGGAUGAACGCUAGCGACAGGCUUAACACAUGCAAGUCGAGGGGCAGCGGGGAGUAGCAAUACUUUGCCGGCGACCGGCGCACGGGUGAGUAACGCGUAUGCAACCUGCCUAUCAGAGGGGGAAUAACCCGGCGAAAGUCGGACUAAUACCGCAUAAAACAGGGGUCCCGCAUGGGAAUAUUUGUUAAAGAAUAAUCGCUGAUAGAUGGGCAUGCGUUCCAUUAGAUAGUUGGUGGGGG